rnacentral:rRNA from 1 species
UACGGGGGGGGCAAGCGUUUGUUCGGAAUUACUGGGCGUAAAGGGCUUGUAGGUGGCCAACUAAGUCAGACGUGAAAUCCCUCGGCUUAACCGGGGAACUGCGUCUGAUACUGGAUGGCUAGAGUGUGGGAGAGGGAUGCGGAAUUCCAGGUGUAGCGGUGAAAUGCGUAGAUAUCUGGAGGAACACCGGUGGCGAAGGCGGCAUCCUGGACCACGACUGACACUGAAAAGCGAAAGCCAGGGGAGCAAACGGG